rnacentral:lncRNA from 1 species
AGCCAAAUGUCCUCCACAGCUUUGCCCAGUGGGACACAUGGCUCCUGACAUACGUAACCCAGGAUGGGAUGCCUUGUUGGAGUCUCUCAGAUAUGGAGCAAAAUGGGCCAUGUGCAGUCAAGACGCCAUCUACCCUGGGCAGCUUGCCUAAGCCUCGAGGGACCUGCCAAUGAUGGAUCUGAGACCUCUUCUGUCCCUGGCUGCCUAUCUAUCUGAACAAUGAAAACAAAAUUGAGUUAGUAUAUACUGAAUCUCAGAGGGUGCAGCGGAUUAAAGCAUCAGUUUACACUCAUCCCAGUACUGGAAAGCAGAAUAGAAUUUUAAAAUGACAUGACCACGGUGACGAUGAUGGAGGGUUGAAGAACAGCCACCAGAUGUUGAUGCAUCCCUGUGCUGUGGCAACUCCUUAGCCAAAGGAGAGAUUUUAGUUUGACAUUGUUAUUGAUAAAAUAGACGAUUUAAAAAAUUCUUCAACGCCAUAAGGAGAGUAAAGGAUACUACUCAACCCUGAGAUAUUUAAACUUUAAGCAAGCAAAGAAAUGAGAAGAGCAAAGGUAAAGAAAACAAAGAAGGUAAAGGGGAAAAGGAAAGUGAGAAAAAGACGUCGAUACAACUGAACUAAAUGCAAAAAAAGAAACUCAAUGGCAAAAACAGAGAUCUGUUCAUUGUGUAGUAGAUGAAAUAAGACAUCUUUCAAGAAUGAUUCACAUUAUGGUCUCUGAACAUAGGUCGCCUCAAAAAAUAUACUACAUAGGAGUUUAAAGGUCCCACAAUUUUAUGCAUGAAGCAGGUCUAAAAUCUCCAGCAUUUUAU